rnacentral:misc_RNA from 1 species
UAAAGACUGGCAUUUUUUAAGCUGCUGUUGCCGUGCCGUUUGAAUGUCGGACUGUGCUUGCAUUUUGUUACAGUGAUGCGCAAUAACAACAGCAACAUGCAGUUUUCAACACAUCGACGUAGUUUAUACUGGCUUCUGGGAUUAUGUCUAUUGUUAUUCGAAACAGGAUCAACAGAUGCGCAAAGCAAACGAGCUCCACGCGUCACCAACUCUCGCAGUUUUGGCACCAAUGUGAAGUCAGCUAGCUCCAAUGGCGUCAACUUUGACUGUCCCGAAGAGUUCGGAUACUAUCCCCAUCCCUCGGACUGCACACAGUAUUAUGUGUGCGUAUUUGGUGGUGCGUUACUUGAGAGCUGCACUGGGGGACUGAUGUACUCGCACGAACUGCAGACUUGUGAUUGGCCCAGAAAUGUAGGCUGCGAAGUGGUGGACAGUGGCACGUCGGCAACCUCUACCGAAGUAGGUGGUGCCUCACGUAACAAGGCACAGCAACAUGUUCCCAGUCGCAUUCGCUUUGGGUCCGCCUUCACCAGUCCCACGGCCACACAAAAAACAGUCACAGUUCCACCGCAAUACCAUCGUUCACCUCCCCAGACUAUCCAGGCUCAGGUUCAGCAUCUGCCACCACCUCCAGAGCUCACUGUUGCUCCCAACCCAGUGGUCACGUCCCGAGGACAGCCUAAGUCGCUUCUGGAAUCGCAGGAGGAAAUUGCCAAGUAUACGAAGCUCUAUGCCGAGGCGCAUGAAACUCUGCCCGAAGAGGAGGACAGCGAGCGUCAGCAACGUGUUUAUCGUGGCCAACCGAGUACUGUUAGCCAAGUGCAGCGGGACCGCGAUGGCAUUCUACACCAAGCCAGCAUAAAUGCAAUACCAAAUCACGGAAAGAUCGGAUCCUACACGUUCGGGACGGCUUACAGCGAAAGCUUAAACGACGACGUGACAAUUGAACACGAACUGUCACAUAACCGACUCGAUGUAGACAGAGGACGCAGACGACGCGAUGUUAGUGGGUUAAUGUCAACUACGCCAGCGGAAGUGGCUGGCCCUACUGAAAUGCCUAACGAUUCGAACACCUCUAGCGAAGUCAUGGAGCCAGACAGCGCCAGCAGUGAGCAACUGGGCAGUGGCGAACAGACAAACAGCUCUAAUAGCUCCAAUAGUUCCAAUAACUCAAAUAACUCUCAAGAACAGUUCGACGAUGCAGCGCCUGCUGUCGUCCAGCUGCAAAAGUACUCAUCAAAAAUUAGUCAAACCGAAUUAGACUUUUUGCUGGCGGACUCAGACAACAGCGAACCAAUCGAAGAUAGCGAUGAUACUGCAACGGCCGAGUCCAAGCGACGUGCCCGUCAGCUGCGCCCUUUUCCACAUACGCCUGCUAAAUGGCCAACGCAUAACUAUCGUUCUAUAGACAGUCCAGUUCACCAGCCUUACAAUGGGGCUGGGAAAAACGGGUACAGUUUCGGCAGCUACAAUCCCUAUCUAACUCCUCCCAGCCAGCACACUCCCGCCAGCCAGAACUACAAUCAACUUAACACUGGAUAUAAGGCUUACCUCCAACAACAACAACAUCUGCAGCCUCAACACCCGCAACAACCAGAACGUGUUUCGACAUAUGGGAAAAAACCCACAGUGGUUUACACCGGCUAUAAUUUGUCUCUACCGCCGCCUCCAUUGGAAGACGACUUUCGACCGAUUGCAGGUAGUUACUAUGGUGCGGCCGGAUUAACAAGCUCAAGGCCACCAGGAGGUCAUCCGGAACAAACGAGCCAAGGCGACCUACUUCCUUAUCUUAUAGAGCAACUGAAACAGCUUAAGGAGCGCAGGAAACAGAUCCAAGCUGAAAACUUUGCCUACUUUCAUUUGGACAAUCAACCGAUAAGUCCCACCGCGCAUUCGACAACCCAACGGCCAUCAUUCGAGUACUAUUCUACAACAAGGCCGAGUCAACAAGUUACGCCCAGCAACCAUUACGCUCAAUACAGCACCAUGGGUGGCUUUUAUAAUAAUAAACCGGAAUUUACGCCGAGCAUAUCAAACUAUUCUGGCAAACUGGUAUCUCAGUUCAGCAUUGCUCAAAGUCCAGACACCCAAAGCACGACAGAGAGCAAUUACUUCCAAUAUAAUAUUGUCGCAAAUCAGAAAAUGAAGGGCGUUUACAAUAAUGCCAAGCUUAAUCAAAUAGAGCACGCCGCCUUCAAAGUUCGUCCACCAGUCACACCAGUGCACGUGACGCCAAACUUCAAUAUUGUUUCGGCUCCCAAUUUGGCUAACAAAAACUCGAACGGUCUGCAGGAAGUACCAUUCCGAGAUUUAUCGCAUUUGCCAGUGGGCAUCAGCUACGCUUCGAAUUCUACCCUGCCGGAAUCGUAUCAGACUUUUACCAAAUCGGUCAGCUCUACGGUGCCCCCCAAACCGGAGCCACCUAAGCCUUCAACAACUACCAAGCCACAGAAGACCAAUUUUCAAUUCAAUAUAAAUGAAUUUAUGGCAAACCUAAAAGCCAGUGAUCUAGCAAGUUUUAAUCCGGCUGUCAACCCACUAAUCAAAUAUUUUAAGCAGGUAAGCAAUGAUGGAAGUGGAAAUGUUCGGAAUGCCUUGGUUCUUCGCCGACCUGUCAUUAGCUCAACGCCAUCCAGUCCAGUAACGUCCAGACCUCCCUUGAAAUCAAGCCCGGUACCUACGAGGCUGCCAAUUAGCACAACCACCCAAGGAUCGACCACGCCUAUUCUAAGAGGCUACGAAUCUUUCGUGAAGAGUAUUCAAACCCAGAUAAGCAAACAAGCGUCUAAUUCAAAUCAGUCAACGACCACCAGUCCAACGCGUCCUAGGAUAACUUCGGGCAGAGUUUCCACUACCACUGAAAAAACAGUCGAAUACUAUGACGAGGACUACGAUGACGGAGUUGAUGAAGACAUACUCCCACCAUCUCGCAUGCCCCCCUACAUGCCCAUGUCGGAGACAAUGGCACCACCACGUCCACAAGUCACAACGGAGGGUUCACUUUCGACGACAGCCAGUAAAAUACGAAACAAUCCACAAACCGGAUUUAUGGAAGCUACAACAACGCGUCGACCCUUUCCUAAUUUCACGCAACUUAAUCAACCCAAUGCAGGCAACGGAGUUCCAGCGUUCAUCAGUUUCCCAAGUGACAUAUUUCAGGAAUUGAAGCAGCGGCUGCCACAGUUGCAGGCAACAGCCGCGCCCAGCACUCAUACCACUGCCCGAGUUCGCACAACUACAACUACCAGCACUACGACGCCUAUACCUCAGGCGAAAAUCCGGUACACUGUACGACCACAACGCACGCGUGGACAACAGAAAUGGCAGUCCCAAGUUCAGAGUAAUCCGGACGGAUUAGAGCGCACGCAAAAUGAACCCAGCCGAGGGGCCGCCUACACCAAGCCAACCAGCACUAGCAAUAAUGGCUUAAGUGGCCAGAACUUGAAUUCGGUACAUGCCACUUCAAACACGGAAAGACAAAGGGAUAUUGAGUAUCAACAGCAGCAGGAGCAGCACCAACAUCAGCAAAAGCCCCAGCAGUAUCAGCCUCCAGUGCGCCAGCAGCAGCAAUCAACUUAUAGGCCCUUGGAGAUAUUGACUACGCCGACACCGCCACAAAGGCAGAGCUACAACAGUCAGCCAACAUUGAGCUAUAACACGGACUAUGAAGAGGACCUUAAUGCACAGAUCGAGCAGGAUAAUGUAUAUGACCAGCCUACGCCUCCUCCACAACGGGCCGAAGAGGUGACCAUACAAACUCUGGAGGCAAGGGCCACUGUCUCGACAACCAAAAAUCCGGCCCAAAGACCUGAUGUGCGCAACUACUAUGACACGUUUACCACGCCCCACAUGAGCUAUGAAGAGCCUGAUUACAGCUAUUCCAGCUCUUCAGAGUACGUCCAAAAUUUACCCGCGGACUAUUAUCAGAGCGAGCGAGUUUCACCAUCGAAGACUAAACCGAGCACUCAAGCUCCCAAAUCAAUUAAAUCAGACGAUUAUUAUCUGAUUGCCAACGACGUCGGCCAGUCCACUUCGGCUUUUAAAACAGAUCGUAUACAGAAGUACACGACAGUGACACCCACACGCUUUCCGAUAUUAAAGUCAUCCACAGUCAUAAGCAGGAAUACAAACAAGAUUACCACAACUACCACACAACCAGUCACAAAGCCCCCUGCAACUACAACAAGAACAACAACAACAACACCAGCAACAACUACAACUACAACUACAUUGCAACCUUCAAGAAACAACAAUAGAAACCGCGGCAGUGCUAUAUACACAAAUCAGGAUCGCGAUGUUGCCACUCCAAACAGGGGAACACAUCCACCGCGCACACGUCCCACCCUUAAGCCAGCAGGAACAAUUGUAUCGAAGGCUCAAGAAUUUGUGGACAUUUAUAAAUAUCCGCCAAGCCGACCGGAUCCCAUUUACCCACAGCCGACGCCCGAUAAGACGGCAGCCAAGUGCCGCAAGGAUGUCUGUCUACUGCCCGAUUGCUACUGCGGUGGCAAGGAUAUACCCGGAGGCUUAAAUGUAUCGGUGACCCCGCAAAUUGUGUUGCUUACCUUCGAUGAUGCGAUUAACACGAUUAAUAUCGAUCUGUAUAAUGAGUUACUGAAUAACGAGACGCGAAAGAAUCCCAAUGGAUGUCCUUGGCGCGCGACUUUCUACAUCUCGCAUGAGUGGACGGACUAUGGCAUGGUCCAGGACAUGUACUCGGAUGGACAUGAAAUGGCUUCGCACACGGUGUCUCACAGCUUUGGCGAGCAGUUCUCACAAAAGAAAUGGACCCGGGAGAUAGCUGGCCAGCGGGAGAUACUCGCCGCUUAUGGCGGGGUGAAGCUGUCGGAUGUGCGCGGCAUGCGAGCCCCUUUCCUCUCAGUUGGCGGCAAUAAGAUGUAUAAGAUGCUGUACGAUUCGAACUUCACCUACGACUCGUCGAUGCCGGUCUAUGAGAACCGACCGCCCUCGUGGCCGUAUACCCUGGACUACAAGAUCUUCCACGAUUGUAUGAUUCCGCCGUGUCCGACGCGCAGCUAUCCAGGCGUUUGGCAAGUGCCCAUGGUCAUGUGGCAGGACUUGAAUGGCGGACGUUGCUCUAUGGGCGAUGCCUGCUCGAAUCCAAGUGAUGCGGAGGGAGUCACCAAAAUGAUAAUGAAGAACUUUGAGCGUCAUUACACCACCAAUAGAGCACCGUUUGGACUGUUCUAUCAUGCCGCUUGGUUCACACAGCCGCACCACAAGGAAGGCUUCAUUAAGUUCCUUGAUGCCAUAAAUGCCAUGCCGGAUGUUUGGAUCGUUACCAAUUGGCAAGCGCUGCAAUGGGUGCGCGAUCCGACGCCAACAUCUCGAAUCAAUUCCUUCCAGCCAUUCCAAUGCGACUACUCGGACCGACCCAAGCGUUGCAACAAUCCGAAGGUUUGCAAUCUAUGGCACAAAUCAGGCGUUCGCUACAUGAAGACUUGUCAGCCUUGCCCCGACAUAUAUCCAUGGACUGGAAAGUCUGGUAUACGCUCAUCGCGCAUCGACAAUGAAGUCGAGGAGCCUUCGGCGUAAGGCCGAGGUAUUCUUAUGAGUUCAAUGUAUCGAAAUAAUAUCAUAGUAAAUGCCACGCUUAUGAUAUAAGUAGAAGAUGCCAAUGCACAAAAAAAUUAUGGAUAUGCACUAGAGCUCAUUGUCGGACGACAUAGCUAAUUUGUUGAAGGGCGUCGAUAAAUGUAUUUAAUAUUUUUGGACAUGUUACUUAAAAUUAUUUAUUCCCUAACGAUAGACUUAUGUAUGUGUACUGUAUAUUCCUAUAGUUUGCUACUUGCGUGGAAAUUCGUAUAAGUACUUUCAAAAUGCAAUAUUAGAGUAAGAAAAAGUUACUAACGUAAUUAUAAAUAGAUUGUCCCCCAAAUUGCGGCAGUGGAACGCGCGUGGCGUAGCCCAUUUCUAAGCUGAUGAACAAUACUCUUCUUUGUGGCUUCUUCUAAUUUGUGAUAAAUUUAUUAUCGACUAUUAUGAUGUGUCCCUCUGUUAAUCUGAACCUUGGCACAAAAUUCGUAUCAAAUAUUGUCAACAUUUAUAUCUUAGCAUUAUAUUUACUCCGACCUUGUAUAUAACUACAUUAUAUCUGGAUUCCGGUGAAGGGGAUUUUAGCCUAAUACUCUUGGGUGUAUUUAUCAUUUUAUAUAUAUAUCCUUACUAUUAUUGUUCAACACCAUUCUUAUUCGUAAUACAAUGAAACUGAUGCUGUCAUGUGUCUGUCCAGGAACAUGGUAUGCAUAACCCGAUAUACGUAUAUAUAUGAAUAUGUAUCAGGAUUCAUUGCAUGAUUUACAUCAUUUUAGCACUAGUUCAAAUAAUUAAGAUUACCAUGGAGUUACAUAAAUCAGUUUUGAAGCGAAACGGCAGAACAGAAAUCAGACAAUGAUAGCAAGUAGACUAGAGCUCGUUCGUCCAGGCAAAGGAAUGAACUAAAUAAUAUAAAGUGAACUCUUUAUUACUCAUGUGAAAGUAUUAUGAUGGAUUUGUAAUGCUACAAACUCAUGAGGAGAAUAAUUAAGUUAAAUUACUGAGUUAAGUUUAUUGUAUGUAUGUGUUUCCAUUCCCAUGCAUAUGUAUAUUCAAUUCGCAAUCAGCUGAAUACAGCUCAAAAAUUUGUAUUUUACCGAGUGAAUUAUGUAUUUUGUGCUAAUAAUUGUACAACGUGUAAAAUAAAGCAA